AAUAAUGAAGACAUGCCUGUUCUAUCGCUAAUGGAAUUUCCCUAAAGUACCUGUUUCGAGGAGUCAAGGUCUGGAAGUCUGCUUUCAUGAUGAAAUUUGCUGUACUUGCCAUGCUUUUGUUUACUGUGCCUGAAACUCACUCUGGCCGUCACUAUCAUGGAAGCUACUCUGACAGUGAUGAGAGGUUCUAUCUUGCCCCGAUCCCAACAUUUCACUGGUAUCAACAGAGGCCAGCGCCACCCCGACUUCAGUUCCCUCUCUGGCCCUUCUUCCCUGGGUUACUGCCCCAGCCGGCCCCUGCUCUUAUCCCAGCACCAAGGCCUGGACCAAGUCCGGGCCAGACCACCACUGCCCCUGCCACAACUAGUAAAAGGGGAGAUAACGGAUAAACAGGACCCAUCUCAGAACCG